GGGAGGACAGGCCCGGCUCAGAGCCUGGAACUGCUUGUGAUGGAGGACGGCAUCCACUGUGGGUCCUAGACCAAGGCUGACUGGGAAGUGGUGCAGGCGAGGCAUGCUGGGGGCGUGAACUCAGCAGAGGCCAUGCGGCAGGGACUCAGGAGGCAUUUGGGAAGAAGGACCUGCAGGGCCUGGACAUCAAAGUGAGGGAAAGGGAAGGUCCAGGCUGGCGCCCAGGUUUGGAGAGCAUUUGGGAUGGUGGUGCCCAGCUCUGAGCCGAGGACACAGGACACGGGAUGGAAGAGGGUGUGCUGAGUUUUGGGGGUGUUGCAUUUGAGCUAGCUCGGGGGGACACAGGACGGGAAGGGCUGUGGAGCUCAGGACGCAGCUGUGUCUAUAGGUCUGGAGGUCAGGAGAGAGAGGAGGAAGGUGGUUGGGAUAUGAGUGUCAUCUGUGGAUGUGUGGGUGAGAUGUCCUGUGGGUGGGACGUCAGCCAGGUUCCUGGAGGUGCUAACCCGUCCGCUGGUCACGAGGCUGGCCCGUGGCCUCCUGUACACGGCCCCAGAUGAAGACGCCUCCUUGCCCUGUCCAGCCUCUGGCUUCCAGCCUGCUUAACCCCUUGUAGGGCCUGAGAGCAAGACAGCACGGUGAGGCGUGCCAGCCCCAAGAGACACCUCAUACACAGAGGCUGCGGCCGGAAGGGGCCGAGGACAGGAUGGGCGACCCAGUCAUACAGCAACAUCUGGGGGCGGGCGGGUGAGUCCACCCACUGUGCAGGUGAGGAAAAGUUGCCCCGAGCUGGUGGGCAUGCUGUCCCACUUUGCAGAACCUCUGCCUGACUUCUGGGGAGACCAGAGAUUCAUGUCCAAUCAAGCAUCCUGGGAACGCCUCCAAUUUGCCAUGAAAUAGUUGUAAGUGUCAAGAAAAGCAGUUUCCAGGUUAAGGGAAGUCGAGGGGAAGACCCAUCCUUGGGUUUCUGGGUGGCAUCAGGCUAUAAGAAGCAGCUACCGUGGGUCUCUGCGGCCACAGGCCCCUGCCCGCUACCCGCCCGGACGGGCUCCCCUGGGGCCAGUGCUCAGUGCCAGCCUCUCUCCUGGGCCUCCAGGAGGACGCCUCCCUAAUUAGCUGCCAAGAG
rnacentral:lncRNA from 1 species